rnacentral:tRNA from 1 species
GGGGCCGUCGUCUAGGGUUUCGAAUGAUUCAACGGACAAUAUGGUCAAGGAUACCAACCCGGGGCGUUGGUGAUCCAGGGUUCAAAUCCCUGCGGCCCCA